rnacentral:rRNA from 1 species
GUAAGUCAGUGGUGAAAGUCUGCAGCUUAAAGGAGAACUGCCAUUGAUACUGCACACCUUGAGUAAUUAUGAAGUGGUUAGAAUAUGUAGUGUAGCGGUGAAAUGCAUAGAUAUUACAUAGAAUACCGAUUGCGAAGGCAGAUCACUAAUAAUUUACUGACGCUGAUGGACGAAAGCGUGGUAGCGAACAGGAUUAGAUACCCUGGUAGUCUACGCCGUAAACGAUGGUUACUAGCUGUUUGGUCUAAUUGAGGCCUGAGUGGCUAAGCGAAAGUGAUAAGUAACCCACCUGGGGAGUACGUUCGCAAGAAUGAAACUCAAAGGAAUUGACGGGGGCCCGCACAAGCGGGGGAGCAUGUGGUUUAAUUCGAUGAUACGCGAGGAACCUUACCAGGGCUUAAAUGU